rnacentral:rRNA from 1 species
UACGUAGGGUGCAAGCGUUGCCCGGAUUUAUUGGGCGUAAAGAGCGCGCAGGCGGUUUUACAAGUCAGAUGUGAAAUAUCCGGGCUUAACCCGGAGGGGUCAUUUGAAACUGUGAGACUAGAGUACAGCAGAGGAUAGCGGAAUUCCCGGUGUAGAGGUGAAAUUCGUAGAUAUCGGGAGGAACACCAGUAGCGAAGGCGGCGAUCUGGGAAGAUACUGACGCUGAGGCGCGAAAGCGUGGGGAGCAAACAGG